GAUAUGAACUCUCCGAAAAAAUUACGCUGUUAUCCCUAAGGUAAGUUAAUCUUAUAAUCAAAAGUUUUGGAUCAAAAAAACAUAAAUUAAUGAAAAAAAUAUUAAAAGUUAAAUAAAUUUCAAUGUCACCCCAACAAAACUUUAUAUUCUAAAAAAUUAUUUAAUUAACAAAAAAUAAAAAUUAAUAAAUAAAGUUAACUUCUAUAGGGUCUUCUCGUCCUAUAAAUAAAUUUUAGCUUUUUAACUAAAAAAUUAAAUUCAAAACAAUUAAAAAAAGAAAGUUUAUUUUUCAUCAAACCAUUCAUACUAGCCUUCAAUUAAAAGACAAAUGAUUAUGCUACCUUCGUACAGUUAAAAUACCGCAGCCUUUUAAUUCAAAAAAAUCAAUGGGCAGGCCUGAUCUUAAAUUAAAAUCAAAAGAAC
rnacentral:rRNA from 1 species